rnacentral:rRNA from 1 species
UACGUAGGGUGCAAGCGUUGUCCGGAAUCACUGGGCGUAAAGCGCACGUAGGCGGGUCCUUAAGUCAGGGGUGAAAUCCCGGAGCUCAACUCCGGAACUGCCUUUGAUACUGGGGAUCUUGAGUCCGGAAGAGGUGAGUGGAACUCCGAGUGUAGAGGUGAAAUUCGUAGAUAUUCGGAAGAACACCAGUGGCGAAGGCGGCUCACUGGUCCGGUACUGACGCUGAGGUGCGAAAGCGUGGGGAGCAAACAGG